CAUGUUUAUAGUUAAUCUUCUACCUAUUAGCCCCCCUCUCCUUGCAAUAGCAUUGCUAACAGCUGAAUAAAAAGUAUUAGAUUAUAUACAGUUUCAUAAAGGACCUAAUACUGUAGGCCCCUAUGGCCCACUUCACUUCUUCACUAAUGCCAUAAAACUAUUCACUAAAGAACCAUUACGACCACCAACAUCUUCUAUACUAUCAUAUGCCAUUGCACCCACACUGGCCCUGGCCCUUGCACUUACUAUGUGAAUUCUACUAAUCUUACUGUACCCACUAAUUAACAUGAAUAUAGGAACACUAUUCAUUUUAACCACAUGAAGCCUACCCAUAUAUUCCAUCCUUCAAUCAGGAUGAACAUCAGUUUUAAAAUGUGUGUUAAUUGGUGCACUAUGAGCAGUAGCACAAACAAAUUUAUAUGAAGUUAUCCCAGCCACCAUUAUUAGUUCUCUCAAUAAGCAAAUCAUUUACAUUAACAACUUUAAUUGAUACCUGAGAAUAUGUACGACUAUUUUUUUCAUCAUGAUCCUUAGCCAUAAUAUGAUUUACUUCAACAGUAGCAAAAACUAAUGGAGCCUCAUUCAACUUGACACAAGGUGUUGAAACUUGUGUCAGGCUUUAACAUCCAAUAUGCUGCAGGCCAAUUUGUCCUAUUUUUUUUAUAUAGCAGAGUACACCAACAUCAUUAUAAUAAAUGCCCUAACCAUUAUCCAUUGCCUAGAAGAACUCCAUGAUAUUCACAUACCAGAAAUUUAUAUACUCAACUUCAUCAUGAACACCAUUUUCCUAUCUUACAGUUCUUGACUUUGAGCAUUAUACCCAUGAUUCCAGUAUGAUGAACUCAUGUACCUUCUAUGAAAAAAUUUCUAACCACUCAAAUUAGCCUUAUGCAUAUGACACAUCUCAGUACCUAUUUUACUACUGCAUAUUCCACCACAC
rnacentral:lncRNA from 10 species